rnacentral:rRNA from 1 species
UACAGAGGUCCCAAGCGUUGUUCGGAUUCACUGGGCGUAAAGGGUGCGUAGGCGGUCGGGUAAGUCUGAUGUGAAAUCUCCAAGCCUAACUUGGAAACUGCAUUGGAUACUAUCCGGCUAGAGGAAUGGAGGGGAGACUGGAAUACUUGGUGUAGCAGUGAAAUGCGUAGAUAUCAAGUGGAACACCAGUGGCGAAGGCGAGUCUCUGGACAUUUCCUGACGCUGAGGCACGAAAGCCAGGGAGCGAACGGG